CCUACGGGUGGCAGCAGUAGGGAAUCUUUCACAAUGGGCGAAAGCCUGAUGGAGCAACGCCGCGUGCAGGAUGAAGGCCUUCGGGUUGUAAACUGCUUUUAUAAGCGAGAAAUAUGAUGGUAACUUAUGAAUAAGGAUCGGCUAACUACGUGCCAGCAGCCGCGGUCAUACGUAGGAUCCGAGCAUUAUCCGGAGUGACUGGGUGUAAAGAGUUGCGUAGGUGGCAUAAGAAGUAGCUAGUGAAAUCGGGUGGCUCAACCAUUCAGACUAUUAGCUAAACUGUUAAGCUCGAGACCGUUAGGGGUAACUGGAAUUUCUAGUGUAGGAGUGAAAUCCGUAGAUAUUAGAAGGAACACCAAUAGCGUAGGCAGGUUACUGGGACGGUUCUGACACUAAGGCACGAAAGCGUAGGGAGCAAACGGGAUUAGAUACCCCUGUAGUC
rnacentral:rRNA from 1 species